CCCAACAUCUAUGUCCCAGUCGUGUUGGCAGGCAAAUGUCGGGAACAAGCAGGGCCACGAAAAGCCCGACCAAAAUUCGGGCAGGGAAGUUGUGCCAGGCGUAGACCACCAGCAUCUGUUUAUCAUUGUUGGAGCUGCAAGGGGAAAAAAACAUCCUCUGGAUUCUGAGCUGCCGGAGCGAAGGGAAUGGUUGGUGAGGUGAAACUGGGGAGGGGAGGAUUAGGAGAGUAUUAAUGAGCGGCUGGAACAAAUUAGCGAGGGAGUAGCAGAGACAACAGGAAGGAGUGCGAGAGGCUGGAGGAUCCGAGGUGCUUGUGGCAGUUCCCUGCCCGGCGUGGGAUGUGUGUGCUCUAGGAACCCGCCGCAAUAAUUCAUCGCAUUAAAGCAGACGGCAACAAAAGCCAUUUUGUGACAAAGUUGGUUGUCUUGGGCUUUCACCCCACGAUAUGAAUUUUUUUAAAAAAAAUAAUAUUUAUUUGUUUAUUUAUUUAAUUUUUAUUAACAGCGAGAGAGUGUGGUUGGAGUGGAUUUGGGGAAAGAAGUAAAUCAGGCUGACAACAUUUGCCCUGGCUGGGACCGAGGCUCCUGCUCCCGAGUUACACCCGGGAAACCAGAGGAAGCGGGUUAUGGUGUGAGGAGAAAGUGGGAAAGGGGAAAAAGAGGGAGGAAGGAGUGAGUGGAAGGGAAGGAGAAGCCGGCAGAGGAAAUGAAGGAUGAGGAAGCCAAGGAUGCGAAAACGAGGACGCAAAGGAAAAGCUCAGUGCGCGGUGAAUUUGGGGGCUAAAAGGGGGAUAAGACCAGGGAGAGAACUGAGAAAACACCGCAGGGAGGACCAAAGGGACACUUUUUGCUCGCGUUGGGGCACAGUGAUCCUCACACGCGUCGUGCCCCGGAGUUGAGGUGGCGGCCGGACUGGGCUGGUGGCACUCGGGGCGAGCACGGACAGCAGGACACAGGGGCACAGACACAGAGCCAGGACACAGAACAAAGAAGGGCUCGGGUUGUGGGUGAAGAAGAAGGUUGCUGAGGAAUGGAAAGGAACGGAGUGAAUGCGGACAUCCUUGGUCAGUCGGGGAUUUGGGUACCGAUCACUCAGAGCAGAACUUGCACCCGAAUGUUUCCUUGCCCUUGGGGAAGGGCCGGGCUCGCCCGUCAGACACGAGUGACUCCUCUCCAAGGCUCUGCCCCCGUGGUGUCAGCAGGGCUUUCACACGGAACUGAUAGCGGUGGCGAAAUCCUUCCCGGGCAGGACAAUCCUCCAAACCUCUCGUUUUGUUCAGUGGUUUUGGUUGAUUUGUUUGUGGUUUAAGGGUGGGGGGUAUUUCCAGGAGGCGGCUGUGUCAGUGUUGCCUCAGGGCUGUAAGGGGAGAAUUUUCCUUCUUGAGAAGAACAAUGUCGAGGUGUUUCCUAAAGAUGUGAUGGUCAGAUAGCUGUAAUGUCCUUUGGAUAGGCAUCCCAGGACGGGACUUUCGCAGCUGAAAAUGCUUUGUUCCCGUUUUUCACGUGAUUUAUUUGCAUCCCUGUGGUUUAUUUUGGCCUGAAGGACCGCCAAACGGGUUGUGUGCUCGCAGAUCGAAUUGUGAUUUGGGGCAGAGCAGGAUGAACGUGGGGAGGGAGGGGAAGGGCCCUGGGACACCAGCAGGACGGCCCCGGUAAAUAUAAAAUGUUACGUGUUAAAACUCAUUCUCUUCACAGGCCUGCCUCCCAAGCCACCAUUAACAUUCAGGUGAUGACUUUGUAAUUUUGCUUGGAGAUCCUUGGGUGGAAAUUGCAGAAACGGUGCUAACCCUUAUUUAUCCCAUUUUGUGUGAAAAGCGGAGCACAGAGGGGAGCGAGGACGCUGCGGGGAAUGCCACCCCCGCCUUGGGAGGAACCAACAAAACCCGAUGGCAAAAGCUAGCUUAGCAAGGAGAUACGUGACCGAGGCAGCUUUGAAGCCUUUUCUGAGGAAUCCUUCGUCCUUCUGUAGAAUGUUUAAUCUUCCUGUGGAGUGUCUAACUAUGAGACUCGUUCUGCAGACUUUCAUUCUUGUGCCAUACAGAUGAGCAGGGGUUGCUCAGGUGAUUGAACGAGUCCUAAAUCAUUACUGGAGAAUGGAGAGAGCAGGAACGCCUAGGUCAGAACAAAAAUCUUUAUUUGCCCCUCUUUUCCAGCAGGGAGGGGAAAAAAAAACACCCCAAAAGUAAUUAUAGCUCAGGGGUAGGGAGGGAUAAUCCUUGUGGGUCCCUUCCAGCUUGAGAUACUCUGUGACUCUAGGUCUCAAGGAAAGGUUUACCAAUAACCCAACAACCCCUUGCCCUUUCUGCUUCCAGCAGGAGCCACAACUCCCUCCAGUCUGCACAGAAGGAGCCAGGAUGAUUUUGUCACACAGUUCACCCAUGAAGGGACCAGAGACAGCAGAAAUGUCAUCAGCUUGGAAGCAAAACUUGCUAAGAACAAAUCUUCCACGGGUUUAUUGCUCCUGCUGGCUGGCUGUGCUGUGCCUGUUCACACACGUGCAGUUCACCACGGGAAAAUUAUCUGUACAGGGCACCCUGUGCCACACGGUCUGAGCCUUACAAUGGAAAAAACCACUCGUUUGUGUGUACUGGUUUCCUCCACGACUUCUUUUUCUGGUGUUUGAUGUGGUUUCAGGCCUCCCUGGUGCUGUUUCCACUGGAGGAACUGUCACAGCCUCUCUCACACACACAGACACUCGUGUGUGCGCCUUUGGUGCUGGCAAAGGGUUGAGCUCAUUCUGCCUCUCAUGAAGAAAAGUUCAAAACCAGUCUUCCUCUUCUCCCCAGUCAAGUAUUUUUACUUCUAGAAUGGGAUUUGGUGCUUUCUUUGGUGAAAUGUAUUUGAUAACUGGGUUAUAAUUAUGUCUAGAUAUGCAUAAACACCCUUUAGCAUCUCCGUGAUUUCAUUGGUUAGCUGGUUGUUUUAAGCCAUUUGAUGGAAAUUGUAUUUUACCAGACAACCCAGUCCGUGGGGGAAAAAAGAAGUAUGAAAAAAGUACAUUGCCUUCGAUAUUAAUCAUUUGAAGGAUAGCUGAAAGUCACCAUUGCUGGCGCAGCGAUGUGUCACAUCAAGAAUGUGUCUCCUUGUGCUGUGUGUGGCAAUAAACAGAGGAAAAACAGCAUGAAAACUGGGGAUACAGGUGGAUGUGAGGCUAAAUGGGACCCCAAUCCUGCAUGGAGCUCCACAUGGGCUGAUCCGUCUCUGCGUGAUGUGGGUGCAGGGAUUUGUGACAAAGGGCUUUGCUGCUCUACUGCCUUGGCUGCAAUUUUCAGCAGUUAGUGCUGUGCUUAAAAAAAACAAAAAACAAAAAACAGCCCAGCCAGAAAUCACAUUAGCAGCAUCAAAAUUGCUUUUAUUUUCAGGGUCAGUACCCUCAGCAAUAUGGUGCAGGAAAAGGUUGAUCCCAGCACGGAGUUGCUGAUAAUUCCCGAGUUGGUUUGACAUAUGCAGGCUGCUGUCGACUUCAACAGGCUUAUUUAACACAUUUGUUUCUUUUGGGUUUAGGAUUAGCCAAAAUGCAAUUUUGUGGAGCUGCACUGAGGAGGUUGCCUGCAGUGGGCUGUGGGCCUGGCAGGACUCAGGCUGCACAAGGAUGACAGCAGAAAGUCUUCCCCUUUAGCCUGGAGUUAACCAUGGAUAGGGCAAAUAACCUCUUCAGAGCACUCAAGAUUUUUACAUUUAUUAAAGCCUGCUCAUAAAAAAGAGACUCCAAAGCAAGCAGUGGCGCUCAGAGUGAAGAUCUGGGAAAAUAAAUGGCCAAAGCUAUCGCACUGUGACAGCUUUGGCAAACCUUUGCACAGUUUUAUAAAACAAACACCCGUGAUGUUCUAUUCUCUGGGUAGGUCUUUGCGUUAGAAGUUCAUACCUGACUCAGAAGAAGAAUAAAAUGGUUCUCUCUCUCUCUCUCUCCACAUAUUUACUGAGCACAUACUGGUGAAUUAAGUGCCAUGCCCGUGCUGUGCCACAUCAGCCACGCUGUCAGCGCGUCCAGCCCCUCCGCAGCUUUCCUGCCUUCAUCGGUGUGUGCAAACCACAGAGGAUGGAUGGAGCUCUGGGGGCUUAAUGUCCCAGGGAGCUAACUUAUCUGGAUCUCAAGAAUCACAGAAAAUGAAGCAAUUGUCUGUGGGCUUGCUCUGCUUUUUGAACAAAAGUGGUGUGAGAGUGCAUCAGUGGGCCCUGAUAACCGAGUGUCCCCCGCCGGUUUUCCACACCAAGAUUUCAGCUCCUUCUGCUUUUUGUGAACCAUCCGAGGUCUUCAUGUUUGGAUAAGAGUGCAUGGAAAACUUGAGAGGAUUUCAGUGUUUUUGGACCCCAAGGAGGGGGUGGUGACGAUAAAAAGCACUGGCACAUGUCAAGUCAAAGAGGUACCGGGUCUGGCUGAUGGUUUAACAGCUGGCCCAGAGCAGUGUGAAAAGGCAGAAAGGAAAUCACAGCACUGUCCAUUAAUUUAUGCUUAUGUAUGUUUUGUUUCUCUCAACACACACACACGUGAUAUUGUUCAUAUAUAUUGUUCAUCUGGUAAGGAAGAAAUAAAAAAAGAAAUUGAUACCAGUCUGCAUAUGCGUUCAAAAGCUUAGCAAAUUCUCCGAGCUCUGCUGGGGAUCAGAUUUCACCAAACUGCAAUAAAAAAUUCCUUUUUUACCUUG